UGAAAUUGAUUAUGAUAUUGAGUAGUGAUUCCAAAACGUUAUGUCUCCUGUUCCCCAGAGCCUCUCAGUGUGCUGAAGUACCCCUUCAUCAUCAGCACCUUCAUAAUCAACACCCUCAUCAUUAACUCCUUCAUCAUCAUCCCCCUCAUCAUCAACCCCUUCAUCAUCAACCCCUUUAUCACCAACCCCUUCAUCAUCACCUUCAUCAUCAACCCCCUCAACAUCAACUCCUUCAUCAUCAACCCCCUUAUCAUCAACCCCUUCAUCAUCAACCCCUUCAUCAGCUCGUGGAAAUUUUCUCAACUGAAAGUUGUCCUGAGGGCAGAAACGUUUUUCAUGGUUCAAUCUGACAACCAAUCGCAAGACAGGAGAGAAUUAUGGAGACUCAACAAUGGAACGAGCCACCAUUUGAAUCCACCGUCAUUAAGUUUGGAGCAAGAGGAAUGUGUUAUGCUGGCUGAUAUCGGCUACAUGGCCUGCAGAUACCUCCCAGUUAGCCGAAUCGCCAAGGAAUCUUUAGAGGAGAAUGUGGAAAAAAAUGAAGCCAUACUUCAGAUCAGAGAUGAGAAGGACUCUGGAGCACCUCUUCAAGAAGAUGAAGUCUAACUGGGCCGAAUUUAACCUUGCCACUCAUGGCCUUGGCCCAUAUGUGCUCGAGACAACGUGUGUGCUCAUCGACUCAUGUCUGGCUGAGAAAUUGAAGUUGUUCAAAAUUGAUAAAUGAAG